rnacentral:rRNA from 1 species
AGAGUUUGAUCCUGGCUCAGAUUGAACGCUGGCGGCAUGCUUUACACAUGCAAGUCGAACGGUAACAGGCCGCAAGGUGCUGACGAGUGGCGAACGGGUGAGUAAUGUAUCGGAACGUGCCCAGUCGUGGGGGAUAACGCAGCGAAAGCUGCGCUAAUACCGCAUACGAUCUAUGGAUGAAAGCGGGGGACCGUAAGGCCUCGCGCGAUUGGAGCGGCCGAUAUCAGAUUAGGUAGUUGGUGGGGUAAAGGCUCACCAAGCCAACGAUCUGUAGCUGGUCUGAGAGGACGACCAGCCACACUGGGACUGAGACACGGCCCAGACUCCUACGGGAGGCAGCAGUGGGGAAUUUUGGACAAUGGGCGCAAGCCUGAUCCAGCAAUGCCGCGUGCAGGAUGACGGUCCUAUGGAUUGUAAACUGCUUUUGUAUGGGAAUAAACCCAGAUACGUGUAUCUGGCUGAAUGUACCAUAAGAAUAAGGAUCGGCUAACUCCGUGCCAGCAGCCGCGGUAA